rnacentral:tRNA from 1 species
AUUCUUUUAGUAUAAAAGUAUAAUUGAUUUCCAAUCAAAAGGUUAAAAAAAAUUAAAAGAAUA